ensembl:lncRNA
GUUUGUAACUGAAGAUCAGUGCAGACAAAUGCUGCAGACAGCACUCCUGGUUUGUUAUCUUUAUUUUAUAAGUGCACAAAGUUUUGUUGUUAUUAUGUCUGUAAACAAAAAAAAGUAGACCCUUUACAGAUUCGAUUGAUGUAUUGCUCUUAUCUGUACGAUCAAAACUGAAAGUGUAAUUUAAGUUCUUUUCGGGGUUAUCAGGAGAAAAUACCCCAAAACGCGUAUACGCGUUAAUCAACUUCAGAGGUUUACGCCCAGCCCUGCCUCCAUGUGUUCUGGGGUCUUCAGGAGGUCAAUCUCUUGGUGAAUGACCAGCACCUCCUCAGCGACUCGGAGGACAGUGUGGUGGACAGUGGAACGAGGCACAUGUCAAACACUCUGGAGACCACUCUGUAUGAUGUACCACUGGCAGACAGAAGAAAAACACCAGGGUCUGGAUUGUGGCACUGCUCUGAAGAUCAAGCAGCACUUUCAGGGCCUCGCUGCUCAGAACAAAACCAUUAAAAACCUGUCCAGCGCUGCCACAUUCAGCUUUAUCCUGCAGUACAGGGGUCUGGUCUGAUUUAGGGAAAGAAGGAAAAGAUAAAUUAAGAGCUAUGACAACGUAAUUAGUACAAGUAAUUUAAAACCUUAGCUAAAGGGAUAGUUCACCCAAAAAUACUCCAAACCUGGAGCAACUUAAGGGUCAGUAAAUGAUUACAGAACUUUCAUUUUGGCUGAAGUAUCCUUUAAGUAAAAGUAUUAUUUUGCAUGCUCUAAUAUACUUAAGGUAUUGAGAGUAAAAGUAAAGGUACAAUGUUGUUCUGAAAAAGAAUUCGUCAGGAUGGUAUUACAAUAAAUUUUACUUCUGCACUACUGUGUAUGUUGCAGUUUACUUCUAAAAAAAGGUUAUUCAAUUUAAAGUUAUCUACUUCAUAUACUGUUGGGUAGUUUAAUCUACAGCAAUGCAUCAUGUUGUAAAAGACCAUAUUUUUGUAGUGCUGCUGUCCUGUGAGAAAAACAAAAAACGUAGUACUUUAUAUUUGUACGAGUAUACUUAAUGAAUGUACUUCCUUACAGUCCACCUCUGAUUAUUUUGAAAAUGAAAGUAACAACAUUAUCAGAAUAUUAACAAAUUAUUGCUAACUAUAUGAAAGACUGCUUCUGAAGGACUCUGACAGGUCAAACAGAGCACUGUUCAGCUGUCACAGCUGCUGUUGAACAUUGAGCUGUACUAUGCUCUUAUUUUUAUUUUUUUUAAUUCAGUUUUAUUUUUAUGGUUAACUGCCUAAAAAAUCUGGGUUGCAAACCUGUCUACAUAUGAUCACCAUGGUCAAGAAAAUAAGCUACAUAAAAUCGCAAAUUUGUAAGAUAUCAGUCACCAUUUGAACUGCUAUGUGUGUGUGUAACGUUAUUUUGUAGUUUUCGGUAUGUAUCAUUACAUUACUCAAGUAAGCUCUAAGCCAGUAC